rnacentral:lncRNA from 1 species
GGCCCCUCCUCAGGCUCCAGGGGCAGCACGUGGAAAGAUCUGCCAGCACUGUGGCAGGGAUCACGGGGACCGACCAUGCUACCGCCUCAACAACACCUGUCGCAUAUGUGGUAGUGCCCAGCACUAUGCGAAAGAGUGCCCGAGGAACCAGAACCAAGGAAGACCUCCUUUUCAGGGCAAGGUUUACAACCUUACCCAGCAGGAUGUCGACGCCGACUCGGACGUGGUACAAGAUAUGUACACUAUCUGUGACCAUAUUGCUCAUGUUUUAUUUGAUA